GACGAACGCUGGCGGGAUGCCUUACACAUGCAAGUCGAACGGAGUGGCGAACGGGUGAGUAAUGUAUCGGAACGUGCCCAGUAGCGGGGGAUAACUACGCGAAAGCGUAGCUAAUACCGCAUACUAUUGGAGCGGCCGAUAUCGGCUUAGCUAGUUGGUGGGGUAACGGCUCACCAAGGCGACGAUCCGCAGCUGGUUUGAGAGGAUGACCAGCCAAACGGGGACUGAGAAACGGCCCAGACUCCAACGGGAGGCAGCAGUGGGGAAUUUUGGACAAUGGGGGAAACCCUGAGCCAGCAAUCCCGCGUGGGGGAGGAAGGCCUUCGGGUUGUAAAGCACUUUUGGCAGGAAGGCGGUACCUGCAGAAUAAGCACCGGCUAACUACGUGCCAGCAGCCGCGGUAAUAC
rnacentral:rRNA from 1 species